GCGGAGCACCCUUCUAAAAUUGAACAGUAGCCUUACAUUUAGGUUUUUGUCCUAACACUACACAGCUGAUUCAGAUUAACAAAGCUGGAUGAUUAUUUGAAUCAGCUUUGUAGGGCUAGGGGAAUAAAAAGAAAAUGUGCAGCCCUUUGGGGUUCAGGUGACUGAGUGUGGGAAGCCUUUGUCAUAGGGUAAAAGUUGCAUACCCCUGGGCUGUAGGCUGCACACUUUGGGUCAAAUAUCAGGUUCUGUAGCUGUGUAUUUUAUCAGAACAAAUCUGUUCUACAAUGAUUAUUUUCCUUAGCUCAGGGUUGUUUUGCCUAUUGAUGGCAGCUGUGGGCAUACGAGCACAACAGACACCUUCUAUAAAUGACCUCAACGCUGAAUGCCUUGGUAACGUUAUUCGUUUGAGUGUCGCUCCUCUUUUUGAAGAGGUUGACGCUGUCUUCAAUGAGACACAAAUCAUAAACCUGAUGCCUGGCCUUGCUACUCAGUGUGGAUUCAGUUUUAAAUUUGACCCCAUGGGGAAUGCCAUGUUUUUUGCUUCUCCAAAACUGCUUUUUCCCAAAACAUGGAUGAUAAGAUGUUCAGCUUGGUCAUGCAGUUCAGGCUGCCAGGAAACCACAUGACUGAAGACCCUGUGUAUAGAGUGGGCAAAACCUGUAGCUACACCCCCUGGACCUCCUGAGAGAUUCUGUGCGACCGCAACUACAUGGAGGCAAGUGAGCAGAGCAUGCCCCAAUGGACAUGUUUACAGUCCCGCUUGUCGUACUGCCUGUAUAAAUGAUCUGUCUAGAGCUACAACUGUCCAGUGUUUCAUUUCUUCUGCGACACAACGUAGAGGUCUU